UACGUAGGUGGCAAGCGUUGUCCGGAAUUAUUGGGCGUAAAGCGCGCGUAGGCGGUCCUUUAAGUCUGAUGUGAAAGCCCACGGCUCAACCGUGGAGGGUCAUUGGAAACUGGGGGACUUGAGUACAGAAGAGAAGAGUGGAAUUCCACGUGUAGCGGUGAAAUGCGUAGAGAUGUGGAGGAACACCAGUGGCGAAGGCGACUCUUUGGUCUGUAACUGACGCUGAGGCGCGAAAGCGUGGGGAGCAAACAGG
rnacentral:rRNA from 1 species